rnacentral:rRNA from 1 species
GGAGCUUGCUCCCUGGGUGACGAGCGGCGGACGGGUGAGUAAUGUCUGGGAAACUGCCUGAUGGAGGGGGAUAACUACUGGAAACGGUAGCUAAUACCGCAUAACGUCGCAAGACCAAAGAGGGGGACCUUCGGGCCUCUUGCCAUCAGAUGUGCCCAGAUGGGAUUAGCUAGUAGGUGGGGUAAUGGCUCACCUAGGCGACGAUCCCUAGCUGGUCUGAGAGGAUGACCAGCCACACUGGAACUGAGACACGGUCCAGACUCCUACGGGAGGCAGCAGUGGGGAAUAUUGCACAAUGGGCGCAAGCCUGAUGCAGCCAUGCCGCGUGUGUGAAGAAGGCCUUCGGGUUGUAAAGCACUUUCAGCGAGGAGGAAGGUGGUGAACUUAAUACGUUCAUCAAUUGACGUUACUCGCAGAAGAAGCACCGGCUAACUCCGUGCCAGCAGCCGCGGUAAUAA